CAUAAGCUAUGCAACCAAAAAUUCUGAAAUACUCAACACUUGCCUCUUGAUUCCAUGUGUGUCAAAUAAAUAUGCAAAUUGUUGUAAGUGUAAGAAUGAGAUUGCAACUAAGAGGGGGGAGGGCGUGAAUUAGUUGACUUAAAAUUAUGGCCACUUUUUCUACAAAAUCAAGAGUUAAAGUGCAUCAAAAAAUAUAUGCAGAAAUUAACCAAAUAAAUAAUCAAAGAGAUAAGGGAGAAGAGAAUACACAAGGAUUUUUAUACUGGUUCAUCUUUUUGUCCACCGAAGGCUACGUCUAGUACUCUUGCAGCACAAGAGAUUUUUCCACUAAAGAUUGUGAGUUGCAAUUACAAUAUCUCACCCUGAGAUCUCUAUGUACCUUACACACUCCCUAAUCCUUAUUCACUCUUAAAAAAAACACCUUUCCAAGUGAUUCUAAUCCCCUUUCUUAUCACACCCUUGUGAAAGAAAGUAUUCUGCAAUAAUAAUGAAGAAUGUUCAACAAUGACGGAAUUGCCUUUACAAGUUUGAAAGUAAUGUAACUUGCAAUCCAAUAAACUCCUUUAUACACUUAGUAAUAAUGCUCUUUAUAAGUUGGUAAACUUGAAACACUUUACUUUAAGCAACUUCAGAAAAAUAAACUUUGAAAGUUUAAGAACUAGUUGAAAUUUGUAUGAGAGUUGUGUGUUUGUGUUGUGAGAUUCAAUGCCUUUAAAUAGACUGUCCAAUCACUCAUAGUGCCUCUACGAAAAGGUAGGAAUGGAUUGGAGUGAAGACAUUUCAUUUGGGAUGAAAACCUUUCAUUUUAAAAUCUGAAAUCUAAUGCAACAACAUUCAGUAAUCUAUUACAACUAGUGGGUAAUCAAUUACCCAAACAUUCUGUCCAUUGCGCAUUUAAAUUCUAUUUAGAGUAAUCUAUUACAUGAAGUGGGUAAUCGGUUACUCAACUUUAUUAAAACUGGUAAUCCGUUACUCAAAGACAGUAAUGGAUUACUCUGAUCAGUUUUAAGUUGGAUAACUCUUUUCUCACACACGUAACUUGUUACUUAGAAGCAGUAACCCGUUACACACUAUUUUGGAAUAUUGUUUUAAGUAUUUUGAAGUGUUUGAAUUUUCUUUUAAAAAUAAUUUGAGCAUUACUACUAUUGUAUUUUCAAGAGUAUAAGAUAGAAGUACCUAUUUAGACUUAGACUAAUUUUUCUUGAAGCUCUGUCUUCUUUGUCUUCAUAAGUAUUCUUCCUUUUGGUGAUGUUGGUGUCUUUAUCAAAAUCGUGCCAAGGUCAGGAGCAAAGAUCUUGUUCACAAUAUUCCCCUUUUUAUGAUGACAAACCAAUAUCUUCUUUAACAAUGUAGUUUUCUGAGAGCAUAAUAUUUUGAGAUAUGUUAAGAUGACUUGAGUAUACUCCCCCUUUCAUUUGGAGUUUAUGUGCCUGAAAGAUUUGAAACAGAAAAUACACUCUCCCAACUUUUCUCCCCCUUUUGACUUCAUCAAAAAGUAGAAAAGUCAAGAGUUUCCAGCAUAUAUAUAUAGCAUACAAUAUGUAUAUGACAAGCAUAAAAGUAAUCAUAAGAUAUAAAAUAAAUAUUACAAUGCAUAUCAUAAAACAUAAAUGUUCAACAAAAAUAACAUAAAGCAAACUUUGUCCGAAAAUAUGAAAUGAUUACAACUAGAAAAACCGUAAAUUGUUCAGAAAAAUGUAUCAAAACAAACAGAAAUCCAAGACACAAUCUAAGACUUAGGCUCAAAGUUAUCUUCAUCAAUGUCCAUGCUACUCAGCUUAGAAGAAAGAUGAUGAAGUUCAAACUGGAUUUGUUGAUUCUGAGUAUCAAAGGCAUCCAUUCGGUUAGUGAUAUAGCCUCGAAGAGAAAGCAACUCGUCUAUAAUCAUAUGAUUUGAAAGCAUGACAAUAGAUGAGGAAGAUUGAGCAUGAAACUCAGAAGGUUGAGGUUCAGGAGGAUUAGGAUUGGUAGGUUCUACUUGAUCAGCAGGUGCAUUGGGUCUAUCAGAUUAAUGCUUAUAGGUGUGGCGGCCAAUAGGAUCUAUGGAGAAAGCCAUUUUGUGGACAACUUUCACAUCAAUCUUGCUUUCGUGAAGAUUUAGAGCGACCUUGGUUUCACUAUUAGUAGAAACACCGAAAUGUUCAAGAAUAUUGGUUAUGAAAAUUGAAUAGGGCAAGGGACUUUGAGUUCCUCGAACAUUCCACAUUUGUCUCAUUAUCAUCCGAGUCCAAUU
rnacentral:lncRNA from 1 species